rnacentral:lncRNA from 1 species
GCGCUGCGUGAGGGCAAAGCCGGAGAUGAGCAACAGCCCCGGGACGGGCCCGGGCCCGAGGCGGGAUUGAGCUGCCCACACAAACAAACUUCUCCGCACCUCCCGCCACGGCUUUCCCGGCCCUGCGCCUUCCGUGCCUCCGGCUCUGCGGGAAGCCCGGGAGCCUCCCUUCUCCUGCCCCUCAUUAGUGCAUCGGUGCUUCGCUUUGAUUUCCCCCAAAAAGGGAAACCUGCCCAAAGCCCUGUGGGUGAGCGGGGGAGGGGAGAGAUUUCUGGCAGAAAACUGCAAAGACUCAGAGCAGGAUGAGGAGAAGUCAGUGCAGAGCCUUAAAUGCAGCUUUCCCCACGCCUCCCUGCUCCCAGCUGCACCUCCUCCCCCGGCAGGGCAGGAGACAGGGAAUGGGGCCGUGCUCAGCUCAUCCCCCGCGGCUUCUCCCUCUGCUCAGGGACAGGAGUCGUUCCCUGCUGCACCCUGCGCUCUCUCCCAGCCGAGACUUCUCCAGGAACUUCUCCGAGCCGAGUCCAUCCCCUGGGGCACAGCCCCCUCCAAGUGCUGCAGCGUGGGUCACUGUGCCACGGGCUCGGUCCUGCCAGGCCAGGCUGCUCCAGCGGGGCCCCUCUGCCCACGGGGUCACAGCCUCCUCUCAGGCAUCCCCGAGCUCCAGCCUGGCUCCUCCAGGGGCUGCAGGGGGAUCUCUGCAUCCCCACGGACCUGCAGGGGGAUCUCUGCAUCCCCACGGACCUGCAGGGGGAUCUCUGCAUCCCCAUGGAGCUGCAGGGGGGGAUCUGUGCAGCCCCAUUGUAAUAUAAAUUAUGGAAUAAUUCGUGAUUAUGUAAAAUAUACAUGAAGUCAGUUGUGCUAGUAGAAAAAGAUUCUUAAAGUUUUAAAAGACCUGAAGACCCAGCCGGGAAAGACUGGAAACCACAGAUGACAGAGAAAGAAAGACCUAAUUUACAAUUGAAAACACGUGGCUCCCUGCAGAGAUGGGCACUUUCCGGGGAUACUCCACCAGACGCCCAAGGUGAAAAAUGCACAUAUGUUAGUUUGAAUAGUAGUGCUGUAUUAACAUUUUAAUAGUACUGUAAAUGUAGUUGUGUAGUUAAAUUGAAGCUUUAGUAGUUAAAAUAGAAACUAUGUAUCUGGGUUUUCUUUUAAGGAAUGACAUACUCGCUUUGACAUAACCAUCACAGAACACCCAAAUCUUCCAAGGAAGAGGAAUUUAUGGUUUUCUUGUCAGAAGAAUCUAAUUUCUUCAGGCCUUGCUCAGACUCGAAGACGCCAUGGGGAUUAAAGGAAAUAGUUGGCAUAUAACAGACAGAGUUUCUUGUUUUAAAUAGAAUGUAUGCAUAACCAUGAAGGAUAUAUGAAUAUGCAAUAGUGUAGUUUUAGGGGUGAUUCCUUUGUUCACAAGGUAUGCUUGUUGUGGCUUAAGUGCCCCAGAGCAUCUGGACAUCCUUAAUUCUUUGCUUUUUAUUGUCUUGUAAUUGUCCUAACUCUAAAUUUUUAUUACUCUAAUUGUAUUACUAUUUUAAUAACCAUGUUAUUAUUAUUAAAAAUUUAACAGCCAAGUGAUUGGCGUUUUUCACAAUUAUGGUAGCAAAGGAUGGUUUUUAACACCUCUCUGCCGGGGCCUUGGAGAGUCAGGGUGAGGAAGACGGGUCCUGCCCUAUUUAGGCAGCCUCGCUCUGUUCCCCUGGUGUGUGACCAGACACAGGUUAUGAUCUAUGGGCAAAAGGAGACAAUAAAACAAAGAAAAGGGAAAGCAUUCCCUAAAACCACAGUAAUUAGCCCCAAGACUAAAGUGUACACGAAGAACCAAGACCCAAGGACAAAGGAUAGGUGAGUAUUUGUUGGGAUGGGGCGGAUAAGGGGGGAAUGAAUGUGUGUGACAGAAGCUGCUGGGUAUCCCAGACUUGCCAAGUGAUUGCUGUAGUCUCUCAUGCUGCUUUUCGUCUUUUUCAUGUGAAAAACGGCCAGUAAAGAGACCAAGCGAGUGAUAAAAAAGAGAGAAUCCCUCCCAGAGAAACUGGGACUGGAUCUUAGGAAGAAGAGGAACCCCGUGGAGUGCCGGAUUGAGGGAUAAGAGUGCCCAAGAGCAUCCAGGAUUCAAACCUGCUGGGUUGAGGGAUUAACAUUCCAACAGCACUCAGGGUGUAGAUAUGUAAUGUAGACUGUUUGAAAGUAAAAAGUAUCUUCUUGUUGUAUGUGAGAGUUAGUGAAAAAUAAAAGUGAGUAAAUGUAGAUGAAUGGUAGUAUAUGUAAUGUAGAUUGUUUUUUAUGAGCUUUUCUUUAUCUCCUUGGAGAGAGUGUUAGAGUGUUUCCUGGCAGUCGAAAAGAGAGUAUUGCAGAGAAAAAUUCCUCACUUGCUGUCCUCCCCCUGCCCUCAACUCUAUUCAUAUUUUGUCCAUUCCCUCUUCAAAAUACAGAUUUGUAAAACUCAUGCUCUGUGUCCUCAGAUGCCCUUCCCAAAUCAAACCUUGGCUUCGUUGCAAAUUGCAUUGCACUAACUAGCAUUGCCUUAAAUUUGUUUUGGUGCAGGCAGGGUCACUUUGGAAGUAAGUUGUUGUUUACUUUGUUCCUGCAACCUUUUCAAGCUUGUGAAUGGAAAAAUUGUGAUAGCAAAAUAAGUCUUUAUUUUUGCACUGUCAGCUGUGAGUGGCUGGUAGCCUUGGUGGAGGGUGCCGUGAAUUACAGGCCUGCAGAACACGCAUAACAAAAGUAAUUUACUUUGUAAGGAAGUUGAAAAAGGGGGGAGAGGUGAUUGGCAGACUCACCUCUCCAGGAUGUAGGAUUAAUGUUAGAAAGUGGACUGAUAUUGGAAUGUGGCUGCUGAAAUGUGAAGAGAGAAAAA